rnacentral:rRNA from 1 species
GACGAACGCUGGCGGCGUGCUUAACACAUGCAAGUCGAACGGAAAGGCCCUGCUUGCAGGGUACUCGCGUGGCGAAAGGGUGAGUAACACGUGGGUGUUCUGUGCUGCACUUCGGGGUAAGACUGGGAAACAGGGUCUCAUACAGGGUAGGAGACAUCCUUCGGGAGAUGGUUGGAAAGUAUUUUCGGUGUGGGAUGGGCUCGCGGCCUAUCAGCUUGUUGGUGGGGUAAUGGCCUACCAAGGCGGCGACGGGUAGCCGGCCUGAGAGGGUGGACGGCCACAAUGGGGCUGGGGUUCGGGCCAGACUCCUACGGGGGGCAGCAGUGGGGGAUAUUGCACCAUGGGCGCAAGGCUGAUGCAGCGACGCCGCGUGGGGGAUUACGGCCUUCGGGUUGUAAACUCCUUUCGCUAGGGACGAAGCUUUUUGUGACGGUACCUAGAUAAGAAGCACCGGCUAACUACGUG